UAGAGACUAGGGAGGGGUGCGACUCGGGCGAAUGGUGACUUCAGUCAGCUGAAUCGCCUGCAGAGCCAGCCAUGGGCGUGGAGACAGAAGAUCCCCUAAAAAGAGUAUUGCAGUACUUACUGCACUUCUCUGCAUCAUCAUGGCCAUCCAGGGUCCUGUGACAGGACUCCAUAGACGUAGAGGACCGCCAUUAGAGCACGCAGAGCAGCGCUGUCGUUCCGUGAGCAAAUGCGAGGUGUCGUGCCUCGUGGACGGACUGGUGACGCUUCUCGCUUCCCACUAUGCCUCAGACAACGAAUAACCGAAGGCAGUCAGCGCAGCUGUGGUAUCUGA
rnacentral:lncRNA from 1 species